rnacentral:rRNA from 1 species
AUGCUAUAUAAGUGCCCUCAAUACUAUCACCUAACUGAUUCCUUUGUGAGAACGUUCAAAUUUUCAUCUUCACGUAAUUCUCACACUGUCCUAUUUGAUAUCUAUGGCCAAUCUUACACUAUGGACUUAGAGGAUUUUAAUACUGCUUGCAAACUUCCACAAUGGGGUAGUGCUAGUGAACCUCGCAAAUCUAAGCUUAGAGAUUUUCUUGCUAGUAUUACAGUGGGGGAGUCUAGAGAUAUAACACAAGCUACCAUAGGGAGCAUUCAUUUUCCUGCUAUACAUUAUUUUGCUCUCUUCAUAGGUAGGUGCAUAAAUGGUAAGGAUGAAGCAUGUCACAUGUGUGUCCCUGACCUUAGUGUUCUCAGGAGUGCUGUUUUAGGAGAUAAACACUAUAACUUGGGGGCCAUUGUUGCACGGAGGUUGCAUAAUAAUGGUUUAAGUGGAGACUUUUUUGGGGGAAUUUAUGCAGCCCGUGUGGCUAAUUUUCUUGGUAUACCCAUACAUGAGAGUGAUAUGGAAUUGCCUCCCACUUAUCUAGGAUAUGAGGCUAUGGUUCGCCAUUAG